UACGGAGGGUGCAAGCGUUGCUCGGAAUUAUUGGGCGUAAAGGGUAGGCAGGUGGUCUCAUUUGUCUGAGGUGAAAGCCCAGGGCUUAACCCUGGAAGUGCCUCAGAAACGGUGAGACUGGAGUACUGGAGAGGGUCGUGGAAUUCCCGGUGUAGCGGUGAAAUGCGUAGAGAUCGGGAGGAACACCUGAGGCGAAGGCGGGCUACUGGGCUGAUACUGACGCUGAUGCGCGAAAGCCAGGGGAGCGAACGGG
rnacentral:rRNA from 1 species